AGGCAACCUGCCCUCAAGUUUGGGACAACUACCGGAAACGGUAGCUAAUACCGAAUAGUUGUUUUCUUCGCCUGAAGGAAACUGGAAAGACGGAGCAAUCUGUCACUUGGGGAUGGGCCUGCGGCGCAUUAGCUAGUUGGUGGGGUAACGGCUCACCAAGGCGACGAUGCGUAGCCGACCUGAGAGGGUGAUCGGCCACACUGGGACUGAGACACGGCCCAGACUCCUACGGGAGGCAGCAGUAGGGAAUCUUCCGCAAUGGGCGAAAGCCUGACGGAGCAAUGCCGCGUGAGUGAUGAAGGUUUUCGGAUCGUAAAGCUCUGUUGCCAAGGAAGAACGCUUGGGAGAGUAACUGCUCUCAAGGUGACGGUACCUGAGAAGAAAGCCCCGGCUAACUACGUGCCAGCAGCCGCGGUAAUACGUAGGGGGCAAGCGUUGUCCGGAAUUAUUGGGCGUAAAGCGCGCGCAGGCGGUCAUUUAAGUCUGGUGUUUAAUCCCGGGGCUCAACCCCGGAUCGCACUGGAAACUGGGUGACUUGAGUGCAGAAGUGGAGAGUGGAAUUCCACGU
rnacentral:rRNA from 1 species